rnacentral:lncRNA from 1 species
CGGCAGGCUGGCUGCGUCUUGACGUUCUCAUGAGGCUUUGCUGCUGCCUAGCCCUUCUAGGAGUGACGCAGGGACAGUUCUUUUCGAAAACGACUAACACUAUACCACGUAUGGGCAGAAGGGCUUUUGACUACCCCCCGUUGGAAGAGCAGAGGUUGGGCCGUGUACUCGGCCUACUGCGGGCAGACCCAUCGCGUCAGUCGGUGGCAAUGGCCGACCUGGGAUAUCUACUGAGAGCGGAUGGCGUGCAGUACGGAGCCUGGGAAAGACCGACCAAUGCAGGUUGCCAUGGAAACCAGUGCCGAGUUCGGGGAGCUGCGCUGCUACCGACCUUGCAAGCCAUCGACAAUGUAUAACGACGACCCCUGAAGAAGCGGUUCCUCUUCAUCAUGGCGAAGAAGCGAUUAUUGUUCGAAAUUAAUAAAAUACAUAGACGCCUCCGUAUGACGUAGUGAAAACUUCAUGCAUCGUGAAAUGCCACGUGUGCGCAGA